UACGUAGGGUGCGAGCGUUAAUCGGAAUUACUGGGCGUAAAGCGUGCGCAGGCGGUUUUGUAAGCCAGAUGUGAAAUCCCCGGGCUUAACCUGGGAAUGGCAUUUGGGACUGCAAGGCUUGAGUGCGGCAGAGGAGACUGGAAUUCCUGGUGUAGCAGUGAAAUGCGUAGAUAUCAGGAGGAACACCGGUGGCGAAGGCGGAUCUCUGGGCCUUACCUGACGCUCAGGCGCGAAAGCUAGGGGAGCAAACGGG
rnacentral:rRNA from 1 species